rnacentral:lncRNA from 1 species
AUGGUUCACAUGCACACCCGCAUCCCCACUCCCCAGGCCCUCUUCUCCCCUUCACUCCCAGGGCCCUGCUGCACUGGGAAAGAAACACCAGGCUCAAAAGGAGUCAUGGGAAUUCACUCGUUUACACAAACAGCUGGGGACUGUCUCAUUCAUUUGUUAGCUGGAGAAUCAUUCUGGAAGCACCUCCUGUACCUAGGCACUGCAGUAGGCACCAGGACACAGGAUGGGCAAAACCAAACACCACCCCUCCCCACCUGGGGCUUACCAUCCGGUGUAGGGAACUAUCAAAUGGCCUUGGAAAUACCAGCUAUCAACUGGGAAACCUCUACUAAAAAAAAGGCACUGUGUGACUUUUUAGAGCCUAUCCAAGGGGCGCAGGACCCAGGGGGGAGGAAAAGACCCUUUGGUGACCCUCCCAGGAUAAUAAGCAUGAACUGGAUGACAAGAGGGACAGAAACCCACAGGCACAGGGAACAGCAAAGUGAGGAGGAGGGAUACUGUGGCAGGAAGGAGAAAGCAAGUGUGGGGUGGGGAUUUCAAGUUCCUGCAGCUACAGGGGUGAGGCCGGUGAGCAGGACCACCCCCACCUGCACUGAUCCCAUCAUGUGGGCCCGGCCCUCCUCAGGAUGGCCAAGGGAAUGCCCAAAUCUCUCAGCAUCCCAAGCCAGCUCACAAAAGCCGCUGUGCCGCUUCUUGUCCUGGGGCUCCUUCCAUGCAGCAAAGGCUCGCAGGCAGCGCAGGAGAAGCCAGGAGGACUUCCUUUCCCUAUGUUCAGACCUCAUCAGUGAGACCCAGAGAGGCUCUCAAGCUCCCAGACUCAAGACAACCCGAGACCCUCCCCCGAGGAUCACAUUCUUUACCUACUGCGAAACCUCCCCGAGUCUGCCUUCCCCAGCAGGCAGCAAGGCAGGCCCCUUGUUGCUCCUCUGCCCCAAGCCAUUUAUUGUGGGCACUUGUGGAUCUUUUCGUUACAAGGAGGCCCGUUACCGUAGCAACCAGGUGUGGCUCCCGCAGUCUGUCUCAGAGGGGCCCUCUGAUCCCCCGAGUUGUAAUGUGUUGCUGACUUAUCUCAUUCUUGUAAUCAAACAAAAUAAAUACAUGCUCUGCAGUCUCUCCCUCUUUCGGUGA